CCUACGGGUGGCAGCAGUGAGGAAUAUUGGUCAAUGGGCGCGAGCCUGAACCAGCCAAGUAGCGUGAAGGAUGACGGCCCGAUGGGUUGUAAACUGCUUUUAUAGGGGAAUAAAGUGCAGUAUGUAUACUGCUUUGCAUGUACCUUAUGAAUAAGGAUCGGCUAACUCCGUGCCAGCAGCCGCGGUAAUACGGAGGAUCCGAGCGUUAUCCGGAUUUAUUGGGUUUAAAGGGUGCGUAGGCGGGUUGUUAAGUCAGUUGUGAAAGUUUGCGGCUCAACCGUAAAAUUGCCGUUGAUACUGGCAUCCUUGAGUACAGUAGAGUUAGGCGGAAUUCGUGGUGUAGCGGUGCAAUGCUUAGAUAUC
rnacentral:rRNA from 1 species